GAACGCACCUUGCGCCCUUUGGCUAUUCUGAAGGGCAUGCCUGUUUGAGUAUCAUGAACACCUCAACUCUCGUGGUCUGCCACGAUGAGCUUGGACUUUGGGGGUCUUGCCGGCCUAGCGUCGGCUCCUCUCAAAUGGAUCAGCUUGCCAGUGUUUGGUGGCGUCACAGGUGUGAUAACUAUCUACGCUUGUGGUUUUCUACCAUGUAACCUUCAGUGAUGGAGGUUCGCUGGGGCUCACAGAUGUCUCUCCUUGGAGAGGACAGCUUUUUGAACGUUUGAUCUCAAAUCAGGUAGGACUACCCGCUGAACUUA
rnacentral:misc_RNA from 1 species